rnacentral:rRNA from 1 species
GAGGAACGCUGGCGGCGUGCCUAAUACGUGCUGGUAUAACGCUGAAAACAGGAGCUUGCUCUUCUUGGAUGAGUUGCGAACGGGUGAGUAACGCGGAGGUAACCUGCCUGGAUAGCGGGGGAUAACUAUUGGAAACGAUAGCUAAUACCGGAUGACGUUGAUUGUCGGAUGAUAAUGAAUUGAAAGGUGCGAUUGCAUCACUACCAGACGCACCUGCCUUGUAUUAGCUAGUUGGUGAGGUAGCGGCUCACCAAGGCGACGAUACAUAGCCGACCUGAGAGGGUGAUCGGUCACGCUGGGACUGAAACACGGCCCAGACUCCUACGGGAGGCAGCAGUAAGGAAUCUUCGGCAAUGGGGGGAACCCUGACCGAGCAACGCCGCGAGAGUGCAAGAAGGUUUUCAGAUCGUAAAGCUCUGUUGUCAGAGAAUAACGGGUGUGAGAGUGGAAAGUUCAUUGUGUGACGGUAUCUUACCAGAAAGGGACGGCUAACUACGUGCCAGCAGUCCCCGGAAGACGUGAGUCCCGAGUGUUGUACGGAUUUAUUUGCGCCUAAAGCGAGCGCCAGCCGCUGGAUUACUCUGAAGUUGAAGGAGGGGGGCUUAACCAUACUAUGCUGUGGAAACUGCUUAACUUGCGUGCAAACGGGAGAGUGGAAACCCAUGUGUUGCGGUUGAAAUGCCGCAGAUUUCUGGAGGAAACCCCGUGGGCUGAACGCGGUUUCUGGUCUGUAACUGGCGCUGAGGCUAGAAAGGGCGGGGAGCCAACAGGAUUAGAUUACCGCGGUGAUCCCCGCCGUAAACGAUGAGUGCUAGGUGUUAGACCCUUUCGGAGGACUUAGUACCGCAGAUAACGCAUUAAGCAUUCCGCCUGGGGAGGACGACCGCAAGGUUGAAACUCAAAGGAAUGAAGGGGGGCCCGCACAAGCGGUGGAGCAUAGGGUUUAAUUAGAAGCAACGCGAAGAACCUUAUCAGGUCUUGACAUCCCUCUGACCACUCUAGAGAUAGAGUUUUCCUUCGGGACAGAGGUGACAGGUGGUUCAUGCUUGUCGUCAGCUCGUGUGGUGAGAUGUUGGGUUAAGUCCCGCACCGAGCGCAACCCCUAUUGUUAGUGGCCAUCAGUGAGUUGGGCUCUCUAGCGUGCCUGCCGGAAAUAAACCGGAGGAAGGUGGGGAGGACGUUAAAUCAUCACUCCCCUUAUGACAUGGCCUACACACGUCCUCCAAUGGCUGGUACAACGAGUAGCAAACCGGCGACGGCAAGCUAAUCUCUGAAAGCCUGUCUCAGUUCGGUUUGUAGGCUGCACCUCGCCAACACGAAGUCGCCCUCGCGAGUAAUCGGGGAUAAGCAAGCACGGGGUGAAUACGUUCCCGGGCCU